GGGGCGUGCCCUCCACGCAGGCCCCGGCCCGCCAGCUCGUCUCUUCCGUGGUCCUGCCUCUGGCCCUUCCCGCCCCGAGCGACCCUGCGUUCCCACCCCCUGCGCCGCCCGGUCUCUGCUCAGCAGGCAGAAAGUUCCACACACUGGCGCAUUGCCCCAGAUCGUGGUGGUUGGGUGACAGGAGAGGCGAGGCCGUCCCCACGCUCUCCAGCCCGCAAGACAGCAGGCCUGGCGACACCCUGCGUCCUCCCUCCUGGGUGCGCACCCCAGGGUGCAGACCCCCGGGGACCGUUGCUCCUUACUUAUCCCAGAAGAGACACUUAUACUUCACCGGUGGGGGUGGGGGUGAGUGAUUCGUGCGCACAAUUUUAAUGGCGUUGCGAAGCUCCCAGGAAUGCAAAAUGCCGCUGACUGGCAGGUGUUUUGGGGGCUGCUGGUGAGGACGGUCACGAGUUCUCUACUGCUGGGCGAGCCAGCUUCCCAUGCUCUUCCUCAUCUGGUGCCCACCACCAACAGCCAGUUAGGGACCCACCGAGUUACUUCACCUAAGUCUCAGUGUACAUCAUCUGCAAAGUGGAGCCAACAGAGGGUCUCCUGAAGGUGCCCAACCUGGUCUUGAACUUGGAAUCCUACUGCCUUAACCACCCCGCAAGCAGCUGGGAUUAUAGCUGUUCACCACUGUGCUGGGCUCAGAAAUUUUGUCUUGAACUUGACCCAGUCAAAUCAGGAUGUGCUUCUGAGAGACCAUUUCCAUCUCUGGAAAUGGGGCAGAUAGAUCAUCAAGAAUGUAAAAUGCCUCUUUAAAAAUACCAAGCGGACAACCGAGAACAAUGGCCUAUUUAAUAGGUUAGGCAGUCUCUUCUCCAUGAAUCACACUGUAUACAUAAUGGUGAUGAAAAUGUUCAGUUUGACAUUUCUUCCUGGCCAGGGAGGAAAUCAUGGGGGUGAAUCAUGGUUUUAGUGAUGACUGUCCUGGGGAAGCUAAAUUGGGAAGCCACAGGUUAAAAAAGGAGUGAGGAAAGCCAUGGUCAGAAACUCCAGGAAAGCAACAGACACCUCCUUACACCUGGGCAGACCCUGAAGAAGAAGAGCUGUUGGCCCCUCACGGAGGGAGGGGCCCGGGAAGCAGAGGAAACCAAACACAUCAUUUAGUUCCUCGUGCACUAGGAAGAGAUCAACGGCUGCCUGUAAAGAGAAGCACAACUGAACGCACUCACUCAAGUGAAUGAAAUUCGUUUAAGAGCAAUUGGAUUAGAGAUGGAGAUUUACAUGGAGACUUUAAAGAAGAGGAGCUGCAAGGGACAGGACAGAUGUUCAUCAGUCAUUUGCUGCAAACCAUAAACAGUGUUGCUGACUUAGUAUACAAUGUAAGGUGGAAAAAUGGGCCCCUAAAUUAUAAUUAAACUGUGAUUGUAACUGCAAGAUAGGUGUGCUGUGGACAAGGAUCCGUAAUACAGAGAAAUGAGCAUACUCACUGUGUUAAUUGCCAAUGUUAUUUGUUUUCCAUUGCUGAAUUGU